GAUGAACGCUGGCGGCGUGCCUAAUACAUGCAAGUCGAGCGAACGGACGAGAAGCUUGCUUCUCUGAUGUUAGCGGCGGACGGGUGAGUAACACGUGGAUAACCUACCUAUAAGACUGGGAUAACUUCGGGAAACCGGAGCUAAUACCGGAUAAUAUUUUGAACCGCAUGGUUCAAAAGUGAAAGACGGUCUUGCUGUCACUUAUAGAUGGAUCCGCGCUGCAUUAGCUAGUUGGUAAGGUAACGGCUUACCAAGGCAACGAUGCAUAGCCGACCUGAGAGGGUGAUCGGCCACACUGGAACUGAGACACGGUCCAGACUCCUACGGGAGGCAGCAGUAGGGAAUCUUCCGCAAUGGGCGAAAGCCUGACGGAGCAACGCCGCGUGAGUGAUGAAGGUCUUCGAUCGUAAAACUCUGUUAUUAGGGAAGAACAUAUGUGUAAGUAACUGUGCACAUCUUGACGGUACCUAAUCAGAAAGCCACGGCUAACUACGUG
rnacentral:rRNA from 1 species